AACGAACGCUGGCGGCAGGCUUAACACAUGCAAGUCGAACGCGCCCUUCGGGGCGAGUGGCAGACGGGUGAGUAACGCGUGGGAACCUACCUUUUGGUACGGAAUAACUCAGGGAAACUUGAGCUAAUACCGUAUGUGCCCUUCGGGGGGAAGAUUUAUCGCCAAAGGAUGGGCCCGCGUCGGAUUAGCUAGUUGGUAGGGUAACGGCCUACCAAGGCGACGAUCCGUAGCUGGUCUGAGAGGAUGAUCAGCCACACUGGGACUGAGACACGGCCCAGACUCCUACGGGAGGCAGCAGUGGGGAAUAUUGGACAAUGGGGGCAACCCUGAUCCAGCCAGGCCGCGUGAGUGAUGAAGGCCUUAGGGUUGUAAAGCUCUUUCGCCGGUGAAGAUAAUGACGGUAACCGGAGAAGAAGCCCCGGCUAACUUCGUGCCAGCAGCCGCCGUAACAC
rnacentral:rRNA from 1 species